rnacentral:rRNA from 1 species
UGAUCCCUUCCCGAACUCAGAAGUGAAACCUCUUAGCGCUGAUGGUAGUGUGGGGUCUCCCAUGUGAGAGUAAGUCAUCGCCAGCUC